AAUGUGUAUGAUUGUAUUUUCAUAACUUUGUUGUGUAAAAACAAUGUUAGACCAGUUACAAUCUAAGUGAUCAGUCUGUUAUUUUGCAGGUGUCUCUUGUGCCAGGCUCUGAUGUCAAAGUCCCUAGACGAAAGCUUAACUGUCUGCGGACUGCAAAUCCAUCGGUCUACAUAGGGGACCUUGCUGUGCUUGUCUACGGCAGGGAAACACUGUCCUAUUCAAGUUUGACGGGGAGACAGUCUGGGGCACACAAAGACAUGGAAUCCAAGCUGCAACUCCAUAACACAAAACUUGAAGCUAUAGUUGGCCAUGCUCUGUCGAAAUUUCCUAACAUCAGCAUCCAUGAUGUGAGACGCAUCAUAAGAAAAAAAUGCAACAACGAAAGCUACGCCAAGCAAGCUACUGCAAAGAAGACCGUAUGAAAAGAACAUUUAGUUGUGUGGUUCCUCUGCCAUUUAACAGGGCAGAAACUAGAGGAGUACAACCUCUUUGUGGGGAGCUAGUGACCCUACAUGUGUGUUUAUACUGUUUGUUGAACUGGACAUCCAAAACAAUAUUUGUUUAAAACUUUGAUUUGUAGAGAAAAAAACUAUUUUCAUUCCCGAGUUUUACCUUGUGUUCAUGUAUAGUUCGCUGGUUGUGUACAUGCAAGUUAACAUCAAGUCUGCAUGCUUAAAGUACAGUUAAUGGUUUAUUUCAAGUAUAAAUACUAUAAGCUAAUUGGAAACUUAGUAGUAUACUUUAAAUGCAGAAACUAAAGAAGUACAACCUGUUUGUGGGUAGCUAGCUAUGUGUUCGUACUGUGUUGUCCUUCGUUUGAACUGGACAUCCAAAACAAUAUUUGUUUGAAAACUUUGAUUUAUAAAGUAAUUGACUAUUUUGA